rnacentral:rRNA from 1 species
CGACGUUAGCGGCGCGCCUAACACAUGCAAGUUGAGCGAGAAAGUUCCUUCGGGAGCGAGUAGAGCGGCGCACGGGUGCGUAACACGUAGGUAAUCUACCUUUAGGAGGGGGAUAACGUCUCGAAAGGGGCGCUAAUACCGCAUAAGACCACGGUGACUUCGGUCACUGAGAGAAAAGCUGGCCUCUACUUGUAAGCUAGCACCUAAGGACGAGCCUGCGGCCCAUCAGCUAGUUGGUGGGGUAAUGGCCUACCAAGGCGACGAUCCGUAGCUGGUCUGAGAGGAUGAUCAGCCACACUGGGACUGAGACACGGCCCAGACUCCUACGGGAGGCAGCAGUGGGGAAUAUUGGACAAUGGGCGAAAGCCUGAUCCAGCAAUGCCGCGUGUGUGAAGAAGGCCUGCGGGUUGUAAAGCACUUUCAGUAGGGAAGAUUAUGACGGUACCUACAGAAGAAGCACCGGCUAACUCCGUG